rnacentral:hammerhead_ribozyme from 1 species
AUCCAUCUGACGAGUCCUAAAUAGGACGAAACGUGCGUCCAACAU